CCAUGAUUGAAUUACCUCCACCUGGUCCUGCCCUUAACACAUGGGGAUUGUUACAAUUCAAGAUGCUGUGGCACCGUUCCUCCGACAUUUUCCAUAAUGACCAGUUCUGCCCUCAUCACUCUGAAGAGAGGCUGGCAACUUCCAAUGAUUUUCUUCCACCAUGUGGCUGCGCUGGAGUCUCUGAGCCUACUCUGGUUCAAGAAGCUGCCCAAUUCGGGGAUCAUUCA